rnacentral:rRNA from 1 species
AGAGUUUGAUCAUGGCUCAGAUUGAACGCUGGCGGCAGGCCUAACACAUGCAAGUCGAACGGUAACAGGAAACAGCUUGCUGUUUCGCUGACGAGUGGCGGACGGGUGAGUAAUGUCUGGGAAGCUGCCUGAUGGAGGGGGAUAACUACUGGAAACGGUAGCUAAUACCGCAUAAUGUCGCAAGACCAAAGAGGGGGACCUUCGGGCCUCUUGCCAUCGGAUGUGCCCAGAUGGGAUUAGCUAGUAGGUGGGGUAACGGCUCACCUAGGCGACGAUCCCUAGCUGGUCUGAGAGGAUGACCAGCCACACUGGAACUGAGACACGGUCCAGACUCCUACGGGAGGCAGCAGUGGGGAAUAUUGCACAAUGGGCGCAAGCCUGAUGCAGCCAUGCCGCGUGUAUGAAGAAGGCCUUCGGGUUGUAAAGUACUUUCAGCGGGGAGGAAGGGAGUAAAGUUAAUACCUUUGCUCAUUGACGUUACCCGCAGAAGAAGCACCGGCUAACUCCGUGCCAGCAGCCGCGGUAAUACGGAGGGUGCAAGCGUUAAUCGGAAUUACUGGGCGUAAAGCGCACGCAGGCGGUUUGUUAAGUCAGAUGUGAAAUCCCCGGGCUCAACCUGGGAACUGCAUCUGAUACUGGCAAGCUUGAGUCUCGUAGAGGGGGGUAGAAUUCCAGGUGUAGCGGUGAAAUGCGUAGAGAUCUGGAGGAAUACCGGUGGCGAAGGCGGCCCCCUGGACGAAGACUGACGCUCAGGUGCGAAAGCGUGGGGAGCAAACAGGAUUAGAUACCCUGGUAGUCCACGCCGUAAACGAUGUCGACUUGGAGGUUGUGCCCUUGAGGCGUGGCUUCCGGAGCUAACGCGUUAAGUCGACCGCCUGGGGAGUACGGCCGCAAGGUUAAAACUCAAAUGAAUUGACGGGGGCCCGCACAAGCGGUGGAGCAUGUGGUUUAAUUCGAUGCAACGCGAAGAACCUUACCUGGUCUUGACAUCCACAGAACUUUCCAGAGAUGGAUUGGUGCCUUCGGGAACUGUGAGACAGGUGCUGCAUGGCUGUCGUCAGCUCGUGUUGUGAAAUGUUGGGUUAAGUCCCGCAACGAGCGCAACCCUUAUCCUUUGUUGCCAGCGGUCCGGCCGGGAACUCAAAGGAGACUGCCAGUGAUAAACUGGAGGAAGGUGGGGAUGACGUCAAGUCAUCAUGGCCCUUACGACCAGGGCUACACACGUGCUACAAUGGCGCAUACAAAGAGAAGCGACCUCGCGAGAGCAAGCGGACCUCAUAAAGUGCGUCGUAGUCCGGAUUGGAGUCUGCAACUCGACUCCAUGAAGUCGGAAUCGCUAGUAAUCGUGGAUCAGAAUGCCACGGUGAAUACGUUCCCGGGCCUUGUACACACCGCCCGUCACACCAUGGGAGUGGGUUGCAAAAGAAGUAGGUAGCUUAACCUUCGGGAGGGCGCUUACCACUUUGUGAUUCAUGACUGGGGUGAAGUCGUAACAAGGUAACCGUAGGGGAACCUGCGGUUGGAUCACCU